UGGCUCAGGAUGAACGCUGGCGGCGUGCUUAACACAUGCAAGUCGAACGGGACUUAAUGAAACCUAGUGAUUAAGUUAGUGGCGGACGGGUGAGUAACGCGUGGGUAACCUGCCGCAUGCAGGGGGACAACAGAGGGAAACUUCUGCUAAUACCGCAUAAGCGCACGGGAUCGCAUGAUCCAGUGUGAAAAGAUUUAUCGGCAUGCGAUGGACCCACGUCUGAUUAGGCAGUUGGUGAGGUAACGGCCCACCAAACCUACGAUCAGUAGCCGGCCUGAGAGGGUGAACGGCCACAUUGGGACUGAGACACGGCCCAAACUCCUACGGGAGGCAGCAGUGGGGAAUAUUGCACAAUGGGGGAAACCCUGAUGCCAGCGACGCCGCGUGAGUGAAGAAGCAUUUCGGUGCGUAAAGCUCUGUCAGCAGGAAAGAAAGUGACGGUACCUGACCAAGAAGCCCCGGCUAACUACGUGCCAGCCGCGGC
rnacentral:rRNA from 1 species